GUGAAAGGAGCAAGCUUUGAAGUCGGCAGAGCUUAGUUUGAAUUCUGCCUCUGCCAGUUAUAGUUGAUUGAUCUUGGACAAGUUAACUUCUCUAAGGCCUUCAUCCUUCUCCUAACAUUGCUUUGGUCUCCAGGCCCACGCACUGCUAAGAUCCCAAGAUUCAGACUGGGGGAUAGGAGUUGAGGAGAUGCCACCAUUAGGCUGAGCUGGGAGCUUCUGUCCACCUUUAUCAGACUUGAUCAGACUGUGCACCCUGGGGUAUCACCCUCUGCUUCAAUGAACACAACGACUUCCCACCUUCA